ACCUAGUGACCGUAUGCCCUUCCUCUUGAAAAAGCAUAUCAAAAGGGUCAAUAUGAAUAUCUCUCUGUGCCUUUAUUAUGUUGGUUGUAUGGCCAAGACUAAAAGAGGGUGGUUUAGUGGGAAGUGAAAUAAUUGAAGCUUUUCUUUUUCAUUUAUGGCUUAGUUUGAGGUGGGUUUCAUUUGAGAUUUUUGAGAUAUUUUAUGAGAUUUUGAGCUUGAAAGAAACACUGGCUAUGGUGAAGGAGAACAAAGACUCAUCAGGUAUAUCAUGCAAGUGCAACAAUUCAAUAAAUCAUCUCAACAAAUUUACACGUGUGUCAUCCCCAUCACACAUCAAUCAACUUCCACUCUCUUUCCUCUCUUUUUUCCUUUUCUUUUAAUUUGAUUUUCGAUUUUCCUUCAGUUUUUUUUUGUUUGGAAGAUCAAUAACCUCCAUUGUUAAGCAUAACUACCCAUUAUUCAUCACGGUUUUUUCCCUCUCAUUUUUUGUUCUUCUAAAAAUUUUCAACUCCCACUCAACCCACGAUUCCUCAAGUUUUUUUCUCUCUCAGUUUAUUCUUGUUUCAAAUUUCUUUAUAAAAUGACCAUCACUCGUUCAUCCUCAUCUCCUUCCCCAGUUCAGAAAAAAAAUCGAAAAUGGGCUUGAAAUCUUUGGCUAACAAAUCAAAGGGUAAACGUCCGAUCGUUGAAGAGGAGGAUUCUGAUUUUGAUCCUCCUUUGACCAAGCGUGGGAGGCCACAUACUACGAAGAAAUCGAAGCUCAAUAUGGAGGAGCAAAUGGUUCAAAAAAUUUAUGGGAAAAAAGCUAGUGCAUCUGCCGAAGUUCGAACAGAGGUCUGGGACUACAAAUUUAGUCCUUCUGAUUACUAUAGAUCUAAGUGUGUUUGCACUAGUCUUUUUUCUGUCAUAGAUAAUAUUAAGAAAACUUUGUCUGUUAAUUUACUGUCCAUGUUUCGUGAAACUCAGUUUGGUCAUUUUCUAGAUAUGCCUGAGUUUGUUUUUCAUCCCCAAGUUGUGCAUAGUUUAUUACUGAGGGAAGUUUUCCAACCCAAUCCCAAAGAGUUUUAGGCUAAGGUUGCUGGCCGUUGCAUACGGUUUAGUACUGAGGAAUUUUAUUUGAUUUCUGGAAUUGAUUGUUUCGGUGAUUGCAACAAGUUGUUGUUUUCACAGGAAACAAAUCAGUUGGUAGAAAUCUGUUUUCGUGUGGUGUAAAAACCAUUGACCACAAAGCCAUUGAGGAUGCUUUCGUGGGUAGUAGGUGGGGUUUGGAUGAGUCCCUUGGAUUGAAAAUUGAUGUUUUGCAUUUUAUUCAGUGGUUUCUUCUUAGUAAUACUCCUGAUAAAGAAGUAUCUAGGUUUGAUCUAGAUGUUGUGGAUAGCGGUCGGUGGGACGAGUAUUGUUGGGGUAGGGAAUCCUUUAAAUUGACUAUUGAUUCAUUCAAAGGUAGAAUUCAGCAUGGGAUUUUAAUGAAAAAUAAGAAGGCAGAGAAGGGAGGCCAGUAUGAUGGUUGGUAUAGGGCUUUGGGAUGUCCAUGGGUUUUUACGGUUUGGUUUUAUGAAUGUUGUCCUGCUAUGGUCAACUCUUUCUGUAAAAGAGUUUCAUCUUCUAUUCCAAGGAUUCUGAAUUGGAGCAACACCAUUGUCACCAAAAAUCCAACUCUUCGAGACUUGAAGGGCAAGAUUUUUGAUUUGCCGUUGAACAAGUUGAAGAUCAAAAACAUGUGUCCUACUGAUGAAGAGAGGCAGAAGCUUCAACUUGACGAGGACGUGGCUUUUGCCGCACCGCCUUUGUAAGGGGAGAAAGAUUUUGGUGUUGCUGUGUUAUGGGACAUGGUGAUUGCGGAUUCUUUAUGAGGAUCACGUCAACCUGGCAACUGCCUUCGAGUUCACACUCUCUCGACACAAUUUCAAUCUCUUUCCAGGUCUUCGAGUGCCACUUCCUCGACACAUUUUCAAUCUCCUUCCAGUCCUUCGCGACCCACUUCCUUAGCACAGUCUCAAUCUCCCAAUACUAGUUCCACUUCCUCGACACAGUUUCAAUCUUCUUCAGCCCUUCGCGACCCACUCCCUUAGCACAUUCUCAAUCUCCCAGUACCCAAGAUUUUGUGAGGAGGUUUCGGUCUCCUUCCAGCCAAGAUGUGGUGAACAAGAAAACUGAGCUACUUGCUCAAUCUCUUGAAGUGGUUCAAUCAAGUGCUCCUGCCUAUUUUAAUAUCAUUAAAAAAAUUUGCUGAUUGUGAAUUGGAUGAUGAGUAACUUGAUGCAUUUGACUGAGCCACUUAUGUUCUACGCAACCACCCCAUUUUGUAAGCUACUCAUCAUCCUCAAUUGCUAAUUAUUUAACUAAAAUAUGAUAUGAUAUGAUAAUUAUCAGAGCAUUUUCUUUAGUAUGAGGUAUGCUUUCAUCAACUUGAAAUUUACCUUGAAAAAAGAUACUGGAAAUCCGUUUGAUUAUUGAAUUGAAAUAUCAUGAUGGUAACAAUGACAAAUCUAUUUUUGUUGAGCAUUACAUUACUACUUCAUAGAAGAACUUGAAGUUUGAGCAUGAUUUUUAUUUUUGUUAUGUUUUUGUGUUUUGUUUCAUGUAUGCUUUUAUUGUUUAAUUAACUUGCUGUCAUUUGGAGUUUUUGGAUUAAAAGUUGAAGAAGAUUCACAAAUUUAUGUCAUCAAUUAAAUGAUAGAAACAAGAAUUUGUCAAUUCUAUUCUGUUCUUGUUAUGUAAUUAAGAGAGACUAUGUGGAUGAAUGAGAGAACAAUUUUUCAUAAAUUUGAGAAGUACUAAUUAGGUAUUUGAUUGUUUUCUCUAUUAGAUGCUCACUUGUUAUUUUCAUUGAAUAAAACUAUUUAGAAAAGGUAGAUUUGUAAGUUUCUUUGAACUAAUUCUAUUGUACUUUGACAUGCAUGUACGUACAUUACGCAAUUCAAUAAAUCAUCUCAAUGCCAUCCGAACCAACAAUCUUAGAAGAUAGAUUUGCUCAUCCAAUGGGAGGUCUCACAAUUCCCUUCAAGGAAAAUGUCUUGAUUGUUGCAAAUUUUUCGUUGAGGAUCAUGAACAUGAAAAUGUCCUUGAGAAUGAUACAAUUGAAUACUAGUACAAUACUAGUACACUUGUUUCUUUCAUCAAUUGUUACUGAAACAAGAAAUUAUGUUUUGAUUUUUUAAGUUGUUCUAUUAAUAAUCUUGUAUAAGUUUCUUCUGUUAAUUAGUUAUGACUGCUUAUAACUAUAAUUAGGUGUUGCUUGGUCAUUAUGAGUAAGAUUAGAAAAAAGAGAAGAAAAUUUAUAGAGUUUUGGAGGGUUGUAAAGAGUUCAUUGGUGAGCUUUCUUUGUAAUUUCAGAAGCAAGUCUUCUUGGUGUGAUUGUCUUGUACUGAUCUCGAUUCAUCAAUUAAGUUUCUCAGCCAUUUCAAGGCUGUUGUAACCCUCAGAUUCGAUAACAAAUGUAGUGAGUCAAGAUACAAACUUGACACUAAGCAACUUAGAAGAGAAGGUCUCUUCUUCAAAUGCUAACCAAGCAGCUGAUGUUCCUUUCUUUACCUUACAAUUCUUUUUAAUAUAUGCUGGCUUCUUUUCUAUCUUCAAUAUGUAAAAUGAAGAUAUUGGAGUUAUAAAAUAAUCUAACCAAUAAGAGUUCUCCUCUCAAACUUUAUAAUGAAAUGUGGAAUUUUUGUUUUGCCAAUUGGGAAUUGGAUGCCCAAUUCAAUCCAUUUGUCUUAUCACUAAAAAAAAAGUAUGUAUCCUACUUGAAAUUACUCUUAUGCCCUUUUGUGUACAUCCUAUAAUGCCCUUGGAUCCGUACAGGGCCCUGACCCAUACCGUGCUCGACUCUGGUUUAGACCUUGUAACCAGCUUGGACUUCGAACCCGUACUUGGUCCCGACCCGAAUCACCGACGUGGAUUCAAACCCAAACCCCAAACUCAGUCUCGACACUGACAACCUGAAUCCCGACCACAGACUUAGACCUAAAUUCUGGGUAUGUGUGAGAAAAUAUAAAGAAAAAUAUAUUAAAACAAAGAAAAAAAGUUGUGUUUAAAAAUAGAAAGCAACAUUUCGAUAUUUGCUAAUUUGUUUUUUUAAUUCAGUUUUCUAAAAAUUAUUUUGCCAAACACCCCAAUUGAUUAAAAAAGAAGUUUUAUGUUUUAAUAAAGUAAAAGUUAUGAAGUAGAUCAUUACUCUAUUAUCUACUUUACUCUAAGGCCCUUUUUUGUACAUUGCUCAACUCUAGCAAGGAUACAAAUGAACUUUCACACCCUCAAAUAUCCCUACAUAUAAAUAUAUUUUCUUCUAACCCUAAACACUGCCCCUCUCUCUCUCGAAUUUACAGUCUCUCACUCUCUGAAGAUUAAUAGCUCAAACACAUCAUGAGGAUCACUACCAUCAUCUACCUCAGAUCUCUUCAAGCAAAUCAAAAAGUAAUUUGCUUUGAUUUGUACAGGUACAUUGAGCAAUCCAAUAAAUCAUCUCAACAAAACAAGAGAGGUAUAUUUUAAAAGUGCUUAUACCUUGUAAAUGCCAUGAAGGCAGGAUGUGUUGGAAAAAUCUAGGAUAGGCCAUAGAUUUUAAGGAGAUUUUCAUGGGCCACCUUAUUUUGGCAAUUAUUUUUAAAAAUAACGUUGUUUUUGUUUAUUAAGUUUCUUUAUAUAUAGUUACCGUUUUUUUUGGUAAUUUUCUAUUUUUAACGAUUUGUAUAUUGGGCUUAGAAUCCCGGUUUUUUCGGCCCAAUUUUUUAAAACACACACUCUUUGUACGCGUGGGCGCGUGACGUCAGGGUGAGCUGAUACAGCUACAACACGCAAUCAUCACGUAGACUGUGCAGAGGUUUUCAUUUCAUUUGUUCAUUUCAAAAGUUUUAUGUUCAGUUUUUUCAUUUCAUUUUUUCUUUUUCAUUUGAAAAGUUUUCAAAGCUUUGGAGGGAAUAUUAGGGUUAGGGUUUCUUCUUCAGUGAUAUUGUUUCCUUUUAGUUGUAAUGGCGAUCCUUCGAUCGUCUAGCUCUCCUUCUCCAUUGCCAUUGUCUGAUUGUGGUGCAACCGAGAAGGAUUUGUCAACGUGUGUCGCCGGUGGUUCGAAGCCGUCGUGUUCUUCAAAGAGCAGGGGUUUUGCUGCAAAGAAAAAAUGAGAUAAGGAGAAGAUAGUUGAGAAAGGGAAAGCAGUUGAAGAUGAUCGUGUUUUGAAAAGAGUUAGGAAAUGUGCAUCUCUGGAUUCGGAUUCUGAAGAUGAGCUAGACAUGGAUAUAUUCAAUGGAGCAAAGGUUGUGGGGAGUUUAAUUCAUACCCUUGGGAGAAAUUGUCUUAUGAUUACACCUUUCAUGGAUUGAGGGUUGGGUUGAAGUCAAAACAGAUGCAAAAGAAGAGGGAUUUAGAUAUUAAAGAGAAAGGUGUUAGGCAAUACCGAAUGGGUGGCUUUCCAUUUGCAUAUCAAGUUUGGCUGUAUGAAGUGCUUCCAAUUCUAAAGAGGGAGGACAUUUGUUCGUAUGAUCCUGCUCCAAGUUUCAGAAUUUGUAGGUGGACUGAUAGUUCUUCUCCAAAUUCAAAUAAACUCGAGAAAAAAGUGUUUUCAUCGUCUAAGCAUAUUGAUGUGUUAUUUUACUAUUUGAGGAAGAAGAUUGAGUAUGAUCAAUCUAUCAAGCUGAAAGUCAGUUGUUAUUUUGCAACUCAAAUUUUUGAGUUGUAUGGAAAUUAUCUUGGCAAGGGGGAGAAUCGCUUUUCUGUUCCCAAGAAUUUUAGGGCUGCUAGCUAUAUUGAGGGAUUUUGCAUGCUUGUUUCAAAGCCAUGAUUGUUGCUUGAUUAUGUUUUUUUUUUUUUUUGGGGGAGGUUGCUUGAUUAUGUUUUGAUUCCAGUGAAUGUUGCUUCAUUGGUACAUUUUAUUGUGAUCAUAUUUGACAUUAAGAAUAGAUGUUUAAAAGUAUGCAACUCACUGUCUGUUGGCAAAUUUAAAAACUUGAACAACUUU